AUGGCGGGGCCACGAGCAGUAGGUGGCGGCAGCAAUGAACAGCAGCAGGGGGAGCUGCAGCCGGAGGCGGGUGAGGGGAACGGCGACCACGGGCGUGCGCGGCUAGCAGCGGUGAGGGAGGAGGCGUGCGGGCACACGCGCAAGCGGGAGGCACCAGGUGGCGCGGCAGCGGCAGACGCGGCUGUGGCGCAAGGCAGCAGCAGGCGCGGGAGCGAGGGGGGCGCUGGACGAGCAGGAAACGGCCACAGGGGCUCACAGGCAAGUGGCAGGGGCGCGCGCGGCCAUGGGCGUGAGCGGACGUGGCCAGGGGGGCGCGGACGCACGGAGCUCCGGGCGAGCUCGGGGCGGCGGCUACGGCGGGAAUUUGUGGAAGGGGAGAGGGGAAUGGACAUGGAGCUCACCAGAAAGCUCGGUGGUGGUCUCGGGGAAGCGCUGGGUGGACCGGAGCAGUAG
rnacentral:rRNA from 1 species